UAUAUAUAUAUAUAUACAAUUUGCUCAAAGAAUUGUCAAUUUUAGAAAACCGCGUAUCUCCGAAUCCGCGUAUAAGAGGUACCGUGUAUCUCGGGGACCGCCUGUAUAUGUGAUACAAUUAGAACUCGCUGAUUGCAUUUAUAUCAUUUGUCUACAAAAAAAUAGAUUUUGUUUAUUAGAAGGACAUUUUGUAACACGACUAAUGUCUGCGUAUUUUGUCAUGUUUGUUUUUUUAUACAAUGUGGAUAAACUGACUUUUUCUCAUAUUUAUGUGAACAACUCGGAUUUUUUGUAUUCAAUUGAAAAAGCAGACUUGCAAUUGGCGAGGUUUGAAUGUAUUUCACUUCGUCACAUGACAGCUCGCAUAUCUGUCAAGUCAGAAACGUAAACAAACACGGACAACCGCCCGUAAAGAUUGUGUGCAGAAUAAUCGUGAAAUUUUAUGUGAAAUCUCGAGAAAAGGAAAAACAUCAUUUCAUCCCGAAAUUUGGCAACAUUCGUCCGAGUAUGAUCGAGCAGCUGUGUGUGUGUAUGCCGACGAAAUACGACGCCGUUUCUACAACAAUCACUAAAGCCGGCUGUGAUCGUGAUCGGCACAUUCUCAACUGGACCAACACACCGGUCGUUGUGUAUUUUCAAGCAAACCAACGUUGCCAUACACCACAAAAUAGCAUGGAACGGAAAGUAUUAUAAAAUAAUGUCAUAUUUGAAAGCAUUCUAAUCUUUCAUUGUUAUUUUUCCACUGCAAACACGACAUUAGAUCACCGCAUCGACAAGUGGUUUUUAUGUGCAAGUGAUGUUAAGAAGUGUGUUGUACGGUGUAUUAUGUGUUUUACUUUAUUUGUAUCGCUUUGCAAGUGGUACAAUUAGUGCGUUUAAUCGUUGUGCUACUGCUAACGAAAAAACGACCCGAGCAUUAGAAGCGGCAACAAUACAUGUGCCUGACGCAGAGACAACAACGCCGUCGGCAUCCGUUGAUACCAUCCAAAGUGAUGGUUGAAAUCGUAUAUAAACGUGUAAAACCAUAUAUUGGGGCAUGUAAGUAUUGAAUAAUAGUUAAAUAAAAUACAUUUUAUCAUUGUACUGGACAAUGUGCAUCGAAAUUUUAAAAAAGUGUGUGUGUUUUUGUUUACAUCCGAAUACAGAACCCACAGCGUUAUACUGUGGUUCGAGCACUCGCUAAGUAACGCUUGAGCUUUGAGCUUUCAUUGAGCUUACAUAGAAUGUUACACGCUACCUGUUCACUAAGGACUGCUAUCGAGCAGUGUUAUGAGCAGGUAGCGAGCAGUAACGCCUCCAUACAAAAACCGCGAAACGUAACGCUCCAAUGCUAUUUGGGUUAGUGCAGUAGGCAUCGACUACCUGGGGCCAAUAGAGGUGGUCAACGCAAGACGGCGAGAAAAACGGUACGUAGCUGUGUUUACUUGCCUCGUUACACAAGCAUUGCAUCUAGAAGUCGCACACAGCUUGUCUACAGUAGCGUGCAUCAUGGCAAUUCGUCGGUUUGUGAGUCGAAGGGGUCCUCCUACCGAAAUAUUUUCCGAUAACGGCACGAAUUUCGUCGGCGCUAACAACGAGCUACAAAAACAAAUAGCAGACAAUAAGUACUCCUUAGCCGACAACUUCAUCGACGCACACACUACGUGGCGAUUCAAUCCACCUUCAGCACCGCACAUGGGCGGAGUAUGGGAGCGAAUGGUGAGGAGUGUCAAAGAAGCAUUGAAUGCGUUUGACGAUAGGGGAAAAUUAAAUGACGAAAUUCUACUCACAGUUCUUGCAGACUCAGAGAGCCUGAUUAAUUCGCGCCCCCUCACAUACAUGCCACAAACGCUCUCCAACUCGGAAGCAUUAACACCAAACCAUUUCCUUUUAGGAUCGUCGGUAGCAAGAAAGGAGAUGGUAACCAAUGUACCACACCCGGCGGAAGCUCUAAGGAACAGCUAUUGCCGAGCUACAGAACUCACCAGCCACUUUUGGGACAGAUGGUUCAAAGAAUACGUCCCGACUCUUCAUGGGCGAUCCAAGUGGCAAAAAGAAGGCGAACAGUUGAAAGUGGGCGCGUUGGUCUUCGUGACGGAAGGAGCUCGAAAGGAAUGGCCACGAGCUGUUGUAGAAAAAGUGUUUCCUGGAUGUGACGGUAGAGUCAGGCAGGCGAUGGUGAGAACAGCGCACGGAAAAAUGUUAAAACGCCCGGUCGUAAAACUAGCGAGGAUCGAUGCAGAAAUUGAUAGAGAGGAAGAAAUUGAUGAUGCAAAGGCUGAUAGUGGGAACGGCAAAACACAGUACUUUGAUUGUCGCGUCUUUAUCAACUGGUGAAUCCAAACCGCAUGGAUUCACGUGGGGGGGGGGGGGAAUGUUGACACGCCAAAAUAUAAACAGUACAAAGGUUGGGACAAACAGAGGUGCGUUAAUCGAUCUGAGCGCAAUCGAUCACCACUGCUAUAAAACGCGAGCAGGAUAGACGAUCGGGCGAGAGAGAGAGAGAGAGAGAGAGAGAGAACAAUCGUUCUAAUCGUUCGUGUCGUGCGACCUUUUACAUGUUAAUUAUGUUACUUAAGACUAAGCUUGACAAAUGAAUGACCGAAAUGUGACUCAGUGGCGGAUUUAGGGUGUUGGGGACCCAAAGCGUUAAAAAGAGUGGAGGGCCCCCGGUUGGUGUCGAGCGGGCGGGGGGGGGGGGGGGGGGAGGAUUGUUGCAUUAGGUUUUGAAUCAAACACACUUCAAUGGUUUGCUGGCGAGGGGGGGGGGGGGGUGUGCUCAGAAUCCCUGUACUGGGCCCCUAUAGUUUAUGGGUCCCUUCAUCCAUGGGGCCCCUAACUAGCACAGAAACUUUUGCUGAGACUACUGUACACAUUGUUCUAUAUGCUGGACUUUCUUACACGGGGCCCCUACAUUGACGGGGCCCCCGCGGCCGCUCAAUCCGCGCACCGUUAAAUCCGCCACUGAUGUGACUAUGAUAUAAUGAAUGAAUGUAAAUGAAUUCGCUUCAAGUGGGCCACUCGCGGUCCGUUGAAUAUUAAUGAAUAAAUAACAAACAACAAAUGUAUUUUCUGGCAGCACUGCCGAUCGACAAUUUCUUUGAUCAAGUAUGUGUGCGAAUAAAGCGGCACUAGCGCAUGAAACUCGAUACGA